AUUGAACGCUGGCGGCAUGCCUUACACAUGCAAGUCGAACGGCAGCACGGGAGCAAUCCUGGUGGCGAGUGGCGAACGGGUGAGUAAUAUAUCGGAACGUGCCCAGUCGUGGGGGAUAACGUAGCGAAAGCUACGCUAAUACCGCAUACGAUCUAUGGAUGAAAGCGGGGGAGUCGCAAGACCUCGCGCGAUUGGAGCGGCCGAUAUCAGAUUAGGUUGUUGGUGGGGUAAAGCUCACCAAGCCUGCGAUCUGUAGCUGGUCUGAGAGGACGACCAGCCACACUGGAACUGAGACACGGUCCAGACUCCUACGGGAGGCAGCAGUGGGGAAUUUUGGACAAUGGGCGCAAGCCUGAUCCAGCAAUGCCGCGUGCAGGAUGAAGGCCUUC
rnacentral:rRNA from 1 species